CCUACGGGUGGCAGCAGUGAGGAAUAUUGGUCAAUGGGCGAGAGCCUGAACCAGCCAAGUCGCGUGAGGGAAGACGGUCCUAUGGAUUGUAAACCUCUUUUGCCGGGGAGCAAAAAGCGGUACGUGUACCGCAUCGAGAGUACCCGGAGAAAAAGCAUCGGCUAACUCCGUGCCAGCAGCCGCGGUAAUACGGAGGAUGCGAGCGUUAUCCGGAUCUAUUGGGUUUAAAGGGUGCGCAGGCGGCGAGUUAAGUCAGCGGUAAAAUUUCGGGGCUAAACCCCGACGAGCCGUUGAAACUGGCGUGCUAGAGUGGGCGAGAAGUAUGCGGAAUGCGUGGUGUAGCGGUGAAAGGCAUAGAUAUCACGCAGAACUCCGAUUGCGAAGGCAGCAUACCGGCGCCCAACUGACGCUCAGGCACGAAAGCGUGGGUAUCGAACAGGAUUAGAUACCCCGGUAGUC
rnacentral:rRNA from 1 species